rnacentral:rRNA from 1 species
GAUGAACGCUAGCGGCAGGCUUAACACAUGCAAGUCGAGGGGCAGCACGGGUAGCAAUACCUGGUGGCGACCGGCAAACGGGUGCGGAACACGUACGCAACAUACCUUUUACUGGGGCAUAGCCUUCUGAAAAGAAGAUUAACACCCCAUAAUAUCAAUGACUGGCAUCAGUUGAUGAUUAAAAAUUUAUUGGUAAGAGAUUGGCGUGCGUCCUAUUAGCUAGNGGUAUGGGUAAUGGCCUACCAAGGCGACGAUAGGUAGCUGGUGUGAGAGCACGACCAGCCACACGGGCACUGAGACACGGGCCCGACUCCUACGGGAGGCAGCAGUGAGGAAUAUUGGUCAAUGGACGAGAGUCUGAACCAGCCAUGCCGCGUGAAGGAUGAAGGCGUUCUG